rnacentral:snRNA from 1 species
AUGCUCACUUCUUCAGCACAUAUACUGAAAUCAUAACCAUACAAAGAAGUUCAGCAUGGCCCCAACUCAAGGACGGUCUGCAAAUUUGGGAAGCAUUCCAUAGCUCA